UACGGGGGGAGCAAGCGUUGUUCGGAUUUACUGGGCGUAAAGGGCGCGUAGGCGGUCAGCACAAGUCAGUUGUGAAAUCUCCGGGCUUAACUCGGAAAGGUCAACUGAUACUGUGCGACUAGAGUGCAGAAGGGGCAACUGGAAUUCUCGGUGUAGCGGUGAAAUGCGUAGAUAUCGAGAGGAACACCUGCGGCGAAGGCGGGUUGCUGGGCUGACACUGACGCUGAGACGCGAAAGCGUAGGGAGCAAACAGG
rnacentral:rRNA from 1 species